rnacentral:rRNA from 1 species
UACAGAGGGGGCCAGCGUUAUUCGGAAUUAUUGGGCGUAAAGCGCGCGCAGGUGGUUCCCUAAGCCCGGCGUGAAAGCCCCCGGCUCAACCGGGGAGGGUCGUCGGGGACUGGAGAACUUGAGGGCGGCAGGGGCUGGUGGAAUCCCCGGUGUAGUGGUGAAAUGCGUAGAGAUCGGGGGGAACACCCGUGGCGAAGGCGGCCAGCUGGGCCGACCCUGACACUGAGGCGCGAAGGCGUGGGGAGCGAACGGG